GUAAUAACGCUUCAGUAUUCUUUCCUCCAUGGUGGAAAGAUCUUCAAAACAAACAAAGAUUAUUCAAAAACAAAGCUCAGAAACUUGCAGCAUAACAGUCCAAACCCGCAGAAGUCAGAAAAAACCCUGACGGCAUUAUGUGAAAACAUUGAGCAGGCAGCAAGAAAUGCUCCUUAUCAAAGAUUACCAGAUCAAAGACAAGACAGGUUACAAAGAUGUACUUUUGAAAAUGCCGUUUGAAGAGCACACACUGAAACUUAUACAGAUGCAUCUCCACUGGAGACCGGUUGGCUUUUAUACUCGAAACUCUCUGGUUCGGGGUUUCCUUGUUGUUUAAUUACCCCCAAGUAAUUAGUGCAUAUAAACAUGCUUAAUUUCUCUUGAGCACUCAUUAUUUCAAUUCAGAGCCUUGUCUGAACCUUUCAAUUAGUUGCAGCACAAAGAACACACUGUGAUCAAAGACCCCAGUUGGUAACUACCAGUCACAGAAAUAGGCGAGCUUGUUGUUGUUUCUUGACUUUGAAACAUUUUGUGCACUUCUCAUUAAAGAGUGGGGAAAAUAGAACGGUAUCUAAAAAUGUAAGGCAUCAGUAGCACUAACACACCCUUAUACUCACAAAUCUAUUUGAACUCCAGAUGUUAUAGCACUGCUAAAAAUAAGGACAAGCAGACUUGAUAAUCUAGUUAGAAAACCCUCAUAAUGGUUUACCUAGGAAUACAGGGUACUGAUUAAAACACUGUAACCCAAGAAAGAAAAGGCUGGAAGCAGGCUGCAAAUUUUGUUUGUAUUUAUUUAUUUGUAGGGAAAAGGGAAAUGGACAAUGAAAGAUCUCCCUGGAGUAUCACUGUGAGAUUCCCUCGUUGUAAAGAUUUAUUGUGCACUUGAGCAUUUAAAUUCUGUCUUCAUGCACCAGAUUUUUCUCACUGGCUGACCACAACUGACGUUUAAUUAUUUCAGCUUUCACUCUGGAUGUAACUAAAUAACGCAGUUUGCUAAUUUCCAUUUGACUGUUGAUACCCAGAAUUGAAGCUGUUUAUGGGAAAUAAUGGAAAAAUACAAAAAUUUAUUUUGGCUACAGUUGGGGAGCAAUAUUCUUCUCACCACAAUUUAAAAUAGAGGCAGAAACAGGAAUUUUCAUCUUUGGCUUAACUGAGAAUAUGGAAGAUGCAUUUCUAGACAAUGGAAAAAAGAAUUCUAGAUCCUCAACAGCAGU